rnacentral:rRNA from 1 species
GAUGAACGCUGGCGGCGUGCCUAAUACAUGCAAGUCGAGCGGUAAGGCCUCUUCGGAAGUACACGAGCGGCGGGCGGCUGAGUAACGCGUAGGAACGUACCCCAAAGUGAGGGAUAAGCACCAGAAAUGGUGUCUAAUACCGCAUGUGGCCCACGGGCUAAAGCUUCGGCGCUUUGGGAACGGCCUGCGUAAGAUUAGCUAGUUGGUGAGGUAAUGGCUCACCAAGGCGACGAUCUUUAGCUGGUCUGAGAGGAUGAUCAGCCAGACUGGGACUGAGACACGGCCCAGACUCCUACGGGAGGCAGCAGUAGGGAAUUUUCCACAAUGGGCGAAAGCCUGAUGGAGCAACGCCGCGUGCAGGAUGAAUGCCUUCGGGUUGUAAACUGCUUUUAUAUGCGACGAAUAUGACGGUAGCAUAUGAAUAAGGAUCGGCUAACUCCGUGCCAGCCGCCGCCGUAA